UUCACUAAUGAAGUUUCUGAUCUUCUAUCGUUCUAAUCUAGGGAGCAACUCAAGAACGUAACUGAAGCACAACUUCUCUCCGAUACAGGUAGAGAAAUUUCAGCAAAAUCUGCAAGACAUUAUACAUACUUCUCUCAAAUUCGGUUGGAGAUUUGGGGAUUUUCUAUUUUGCCCAAAUCUGUAUUAACCCUAAAUUUAUCUAGUCGUAGGCCUCAAUUUCAAAUUAGGAGUGUCAGUUUGUUAGAGGACAAUCAACAAACAUAUAAGAUCAAAAGGAACAAGGUACGCCAAUUUUCAAGUUUAUUAAGAAAAAUUAGGUCGAAGAUCUCUCAGUUCCUUCUACUUAAGUCGGCAACUAGGUCUCUCUAUUUUAAUUGCUAGAACACAUUCUAAUUUUCUUAAAAUAGAACCAAUCUUCUCUUCUUACUGCUUAUCGGCUUAUUGAUAUGUUGAACACUUAAUUUUUCUUCUCUUCAAGAUAAGUUUGUGUUAUUUUCACUCUGAAUUGUUUUGUGGAAUGUCUAAUUUUUUCAAAUUCUUUGUUUUCCCUAAUUUUUGAGGAUCCAUUUUGGUUUGUUUUUCCUUUUAUUUUAACUGAAUGUUAUUCUGCUUUGUGCACUAGUGUUGUCAUAUCCUUAAUUAUGUUCGAGAUAGAGUUGCAAAAGGUUCGUAAGUAUUUAACCAAGUCACUGUUAUUAAACUUAUGUUCCAUACUUUCAUCAAAAUACUGUUUGCACCAACAACACCUAGAGUGGCCAAGAACUUUGAAUUUUUAGAGGGAACUGUCAACUGGCAGUCUAAUUCUCGAUAGUCUCAUAAUAAAAAAUGAUAUCUUGAAAGUGAUUUUUCAUUUUACGAUGCCAGAUCAUCUUUGAAGUAAUGCAUUGGCUGUUUCUCUAUCUCAUUGACUCCGAAGUAGUGUGACAGGUGAAUUUUCCACUAUAGUGGAUGGACCAAAUUUGUAGAUCUUCUUGUUCAUCACAAAUUUGGAUGUUCAUGAUUUUCUGAACUACUCAUUAAGGGAAAACUGCUUUAAAUCUAUUCACUUUCCAGUAGCCAUUAUGAAUAAAAUUAGUCACUCUUGGGUUCUUCCUCUAGGAGGACUAUUGAUGGUGCUAGCCCAUUGCACUUUACUAGUCCAGUUAUCCAAAAAAAUUAAAAUCAUCUCAGGCCCAACUUUGCGUAGAAUAUACUUAGCACAAAUAUCCCUGAUCGGUAGCAUUCUUCUCCAAGUGUGAAACUGAUCAGGACCAUUCUUCCUUGAACAAGGGCGAGCUAUUUGAGUGUAGCUUCUAAAAAGUCUCUAAGCAAAGAUUUUUUUGUACUGAAGUUCCACUGUAUUUUAGCUGAGAAAGGACCAAAAGCUUCCUAUAAAGAUCUGAAUCCUACAACUCUCAUUAGUAGGAAACCAUAUGUGUCCAUUGUGGGUACAUAGUAAAAGAUUGAUAAGCUAGAAUACAUGUGGAAUGCCAUUACGGUAAGGAUUACAACAUUAUUUUCUUUAAUUUUUGUAGUUGGAAGUUACUGAUAUGGACUAUUUUGUUCUGCACAUAAAGUAAAAUUUUAUCACCUAGUUACAAAAUUCUUGGACCAGGUAUCUACAUCUAUUAACUUUCCUAUUGUGUUUCAAGUAAUCCACUCUUUCAGCUAUCUCUUUAUUAUUUGUACAAAUGUAAUCUCUAUAUUUUUAGCUGUCACUCUGAAUAUAUAUCAGUUUGUUUCUCUCCAAGUGUGGUAACUAUCUCUCCAUAUAGCUGUAACUAAUUCCUUUUCAUAUUUUUCGAGUGCCUUCCCUUUCUCCAUAUUAAGCUUUGUGUUGCCUUCAUCUUUUGUACUCCAAUUCACUAGUUCUGUCUUCAGUGUUUUUCUAUAACUAGUAUUUCAUUUUCAGUACAUAGUUAAUCGUAUGUUGCCUUCAUAGAAUAUUACCAACUACUUUGUCCCCCAAAUGAGUCUGCCAGGAGAUCAAUCGUUGAUCUGGACAACUCCUACACUCUCCAGUAAGUUGAGUAGUGAGUACAUUUUGAUAAGAGAUCCAAUCGAGUUUCCAGCUUGUUAUAUCUAUAUAAACAACACUUAUCAUCUUCUAAUUGUAUUUGUAGUCUAAUCUUCCUCUCUUUAGUUAGAAAUUUCUCUUGAUUAGCCAGCUGCUAGCCAGACAAUAAAUUGGUGUCAAGGUAACAUGAGUAAGUACCAUACCAAGUCUACUACAUUUAAUCGCAGCUGCCUACGCAUCAAUUUAUUGUGGCUUCAACUCACAUUAUAUGCCUCAUCGCACUAGUAGUAAGCCUAUCAGAGAGAUUAUUUAUGAAUUAGUAAGUAAAUCUAAAAACUUUUUAGAAAGCCUCUUCUCUGUUAAUUUGAUUUCUUUCACCUUCUUAUUUAUAUGUGAGGAAAAGAUGGUAAGCCACCAAACAUGGAUACUAUAUUCUUUGAGACACAUAAGAAGGAUAACAAGCUUGUCGAACCUGAAACAAAUACAAAAUAUGGAUGUUUGCUCUUAAAUUUCAUGUUACACCAUUUAACUUUAUGUGCUUAAUUAUUUUAAUUUGUCCCAUGUUUUAUAUUUUGAUAUCCAAAAAGUGAUUCAAUCUUAAUUUAUCUCUUACAAAUAUUGAGGUCGUUGAGAAGUGAUUUGGACCUCAACCUAAAAAUAAUGUGGUAGGAUAACAUCGAAGGAAUUGAAAUGGUGGUAACUCUUCAAAGGCUGCAUUGCUAGAUAAGUUGAAUGUUGAAUGUAAGUGAAAUGCAUGGAUGAGUUAGAGAAUAAUUAUUAACGUGUGGAUGAGCUCGAGAAAAAAAUAUGAACAGCUUGCAAUUGUUGUGUUUUGUUAGCCUUCAUCACCGCCAUAUUCCACUGAUCAAUAUAUUGAACUAGUUAACAGGUUAGUAGACAAUUUUCUUUGGUCUAUGAUGAAAUUAUUGUGCAACGCUAUAUGAAAUUCUUUUCAUUAGUUGGAAAAGGUUUAGUAUAUGUGAUUGUUCUUAUUCAUAAGCCUAACUUUCAAUGUGGGAGACCUUAGCUCUAACUAAGACAGCUGAGGCAGAGGACAGUGUUCGAUUCCUCUUAAGCAGAGAGUAAUUGUUCCGUGUUUCUCUUUCUUAUUCAUUAUUGUGUUGUCUCUCCAUGCUAUUUAAUAUUACUACUUCUUCCAAAAAAGUUCACAUGCAUUCAUUCAAUCAUUAAAAGAAUAGAGCUUCUGCCACAAUUUAAUCUGCAACUCCCAGGUAAUGAGGGAAGCUUGGAUAUUUAGGUUAUUAUCCUAGUUCAGCAAGAGUCUUUGAAUUGUUUAACUUCUUUCCUUAAGGGCCACUAGUUCCUGAAUGAAGGAAUAAAUGACUACUGUAGCAUGAUUCUUUAAACACGUGGCUAAAUACUAGCUAACUUCAACCCUCAUAAAAGGAGAGCCUAACAUGAAACAAAUAACUAAUAAAAGCUUAUAAAAUUCUUACAACGUAAAAAACGUUCCUUCAUCAACCCUUGGUAAUCCCUAACAACAUCUACAACCUUCAAACUCCUAACGAGUAAAGGAAAAGAUAGAUGGAUCUUUAUAUGAAGUUAAAAGAUAUCUAUUAAAGUUGAACUUAGAUUCAAAGGAGUUAUUUCGACCAUAAAGACUUUGUUUAGCAAGUUAAACCUCAGUUUUGCUUCUUACUUUUUCAACAUGAUGUUAUCUUGAACUUUGAUUUUGCUUGCAUGUUGUCUGCUAACUGUCUUAUGAUUCAACACAAGUACAUAACAUGAAACAAGAAGUCAAGAACUACUUUGUAUCUGAUACCAACCUCAACAUUACCUGAUUUAGUUGGUUUUAUUUGAUGGAAAUAACAGGGAAUAUAGUGACUCUAGUAAGAGUUAAUUUUUCCAAUUAUAAGCAUGAAAAGAAAACAAGAGGAAAGUGAACUGAAAGGAGCUGAAAGAUAAUUUAAUGCAGGAAGUAUAGCAUAAAAGUUGUAGUGAUGUGCAGAACUUUCAACACUCAUUUGUCUCUUUGUACAAAUAUAAAUAUACGGUGCAAGAGAAUACUUCUCUGUAGUACAAGAUUCAUGAUCAAAACUACUCCUAGUGGCAGAAAAAAUUUAGUAACCAAUUAAAAUCCACAAAUUAUUCAGUUCCUAGAUACAUUAGCUAAUUUAAACAAAUAAAGAAGUAAGAAUAGGCAUCAUGUUUUGGGAAAUUGAUUUAAAGAUAAAACAAGGGAACCAAUACACUUUGAUGUCAUGAAGAGGAUAUAUAUUUCCUAAUUUUUGGUGCAUCAAUCAUUUCUUUUUGAGGAAAAGAAACUAAUACUGACUGUAUACGUAAAACAUGUUAGAGUAGGAAGGUAGAUAAUUAUGUGUUCCUCAUUUGUUUAAUAGUAAACUUGGCAAAAGUUUUCAUUUUUUCAUGAGGAAGAAGCAUUGAAUAAAGUAACCACAUACUAAAUUCAAAACAGAGAAAGAACUCUUAAAUUUUUAUGUGUUUUGAGAUAUGUUUUAGUAGUCCUUGUGUGAUGAUUCAAAAUAUUUUCCAUCUUCUCUUCAUUGUUUAUCUGCCAAAUCUUUUUUGGCUAUAUUUGUGUUAAAAUUUUGUUUGUCCUAUCUUGAAAGCUCAGUUCAUUCCAUUUUGCUGUUCAAUGAAACUGACUUUAUGUUAGAGUUCAUUAAAAUCAUUCAAUUUGAAUUAGAGAUAUACAUGGAAGAAAAUCUGCAUUUAUAUCAAAUCUUUUUUGACAAGUGAUGAAGUUUUGCAUUUAUAUUAAUCUCUUUGUGAUGCCCAUCUGUAGUUUGGUCCACAUGUUUUAUACUAUGAAACUACUUCUUUGCUAUAAUUAUUUGUGUGCAGCAUAUUAUUAUUUUUUUGGGUGAAAAAUUAAUAAUUUUAGCAGACAUUUGUAUUGAAGAAAGGCGAUUGCCAUAUUAGUGUUAAAAACUAUAGCUAUAGUCUGUAGUGGCUGGUUUCUCCCUAAUAAAUACAUUAGUUAUUGUUCACCUGCUUUUUUAGAAGCUUUAAUUUUUUGUUGCAUCCUUUCUGCUAAAUAUUUUGAGGUCCUAUAUGUGUUUCUACUUAAAUUCUUUGUUUUUUGUUAUCAAACUGAUACACACUUCUUCUUCUUUUACAGCUCAAGAAUUUUAAUAUGAAAUAUUUAUCAUUCAAGAAAGUAGGGAGCAAGUUGAAGUUUGUGAGGAUUUUAUUAGGGGGGGUUUAAAGACUAUAUCUUAUGUAUAUAUGUUGCAAAUUUCUUUUUUGAAUUAGAAGUUGAUUAAAGUUGAUGACAUACAACUUGGAUAUAUAUCUUCGUUUAGUUCUCUUUAUUAAUGAUGAAUUCUUAUAUCAAUUCAAUUAUUUAAUAUAUGUUUGAAUGUGUAUGAGAUUAUUAUUAUUAUUAUUAUUAGUAAAGUAGUACAAUAUUAUGUAAUAGCAAACAAGAAAGUAGUCCUUGAAACUCUUUUACGAAUGACAUGAUCUAAUAUUCAAAUGACCAUUAUUGACGAAAAUUUUGGUCGUUAAAAGUAUUGAAGCGAAACUAAUAUACAUAUUAAGUUAUUAUCGAAGGGAAUUUCGGUCUUUAAAAAUAUUUGUAGUGGUUAAAAGUGUCACGCCCCGAGCCGACACCCUGGGCGGGACUAGCACUCGAAGACCAUUGUUGGCCCCAAGCGAACCCUUGGCCUAGCUUACUUAACUCAGUGGAAGAGAAUAUUCAUACUUAUAAUGAUUAGUAACACUUAACUAAACAGAAUAAUAAAAAUAACUGAGAAUGUUUAAAGGUUAAACAUUCAACUUGGCCAAAAGUGGCAACCCAAGUCUUAACAAUAAGAAAUGAUAAUGAAAAGACUCAAAGGACUAACAUCUGACUGUCUAUGAAGCCUCUAAAACAACUGAGAUAGAUGUUGGGACAACCCCACAACAUCCUAAUGAACUAACUAGAAAGCAAUGAAAAUAGAUCCUCCGUAAUGCAAGGAGGCCCACCGACUGACUUUGAACUGCUCACUGGAUCAACGGUGCGCUAGAAUUCCGAUCCUAGUUACCUGUGUCUGCAUCAUAAGAUGAUGCACACCAACUAGCAUCAGUACAUUGAAUGUACAAGUAUGCGAGUUGGAAUGCUAAAACAACAUAGGCUUGAAAGGAAAUCUGAAAGAAACACUUACUUUGGCUCUUCUCAACUCAUGAAUACUUAACUGAACUCAUUUCAAGAUAAAGCAGUUUAAAACAAGUGCAAUAUAAAGAAAAGUUGUUUAAAAACAUGAUAUCAACUCUGUGUAUAUAUAAGGAUACAACAUAACACUAAAAUGUAUGUAAAAAUACAAUAAAUUGAUGUAUAUAAAAAUACAAUAACUUCUGUGGGAGUUUCUCUAACCGACAACCAUCACUUAAGAGCUAUAGUGAUGAUACAUCGAUCUACCUCACUCUGCCAGCGCAUCCUAUACCCGGCCAAAGGUAUAGGACCUGAACUACUAAGUGGAUCUACUAGUCUAUUGUGAAAAGGGUUCAUCUAAAAAGUAUGACUCUUUUCUACCCAUGGUGGUACAUGGUUUUAUGGAGACGUGAGUUUUCUGAAAUCAUGCUCACCCCCAAUUCGGUGCUCAAUACUACACCCAAAAUAUACUAGCUCUUAUGUUUUUAAGAAAACAAACUUCUUUUGUGAUUUGAGAUUAGUGCUCAAAAUUUAGCUCAAAGGCUAUCUUGGAAAUCUCAGUUUCCCUUCUUGCUUCAUUUAGAAAGCUAUUACUCUUUUCUGAAAACUAGGCCGAAGGCUCUUUGAAAAUCUCAGUUUCCAUUCUUAUUUAAAUGUGAAAAACAUUUUAAAUAUCUUGGGAAUACUUAGUCCCCAUAUACUUUUUGAAGAAAUGAACUUCAAUCUAUACUCUUUACUCUUUAUUCAACUUGAACUUUAAGUCUUAAAACAAGGUUAAAAGCAUUUGCAGAAGACUUCUUGAAAAGGCUCUGAAAACUUCCUAGAGUUGGCUCUUGACUUUCCUUGAAUUUAAAUUUAUGGAUUCAAGGUUAUGAUUCAUGUUUAUGGAUGAUUUCUAGGUGUUUAGAAGUCAUUCCGAAUAGUGAGAAUCAAUGGAAAGUGUUAGGACACUUUAAAAGGACUUAAAUGGACUGAAUGACGAAAACUGGAUGAAAAACACCGAUCCAGGCGCGUCCCUGGCUCGCCGCGCCAGUCCCCAACUUACUGGGGCUUGUUUUGCAGUGCGCCGCCCCAGCCUCCUGGCGCUAUGGGGGCGCGAUGCGCCUGGACCUCCACAGGUGCGUCUGACGAGUUUUUCAACUCGUUUUCUAAUCCUAAAUCUUUUAAUCUGAUUCUUUUUCCCAAACUCACCUUAGAUUCAUGUACACAAAUCAUAUACACAAUCUAACCCAAAUUACUCAAGGAAACAACACUUAAUCAUCAAGAAAUUCCUUAAUCCCAACUCAUAUUCAAGAACAAAAUCAAUUCAAGAACAACUAUCAAGAACAUCAAUUUCUCAAUCUUUUUAGGACAAAAAUAUGCUGAAUCAAACAUGCUUGGCCCGUGGGUGAACUAACCCAAAGUUAUGUGAUCUCACAUACCUUGUAGGGAUCACCCCUGACGAAUUCUACAAGCCAAACUUCGACGAUCUUGAACGUUCUUGCUUCUGCUUCUCCAUUUUCCUUAGCCCUAGUGUGAAAUCCCAAAUUCUAAAACUGACUAAAAUCUGAUUUGACCCAUAUUAAACUCCUAAAAAUGGAUUAAAAUAAUGGGGCAAUGAAAAGACUAAAAUACCCCUUAAAAUUGCGGAUUGGACAUUUCCUUAAUCCAACAGCCCAACUUCCAAUGGGCAUAACUCACUCAUACGAACUCGGAAUCAUGCAAAAUUAGCGGCGUUAGAAAGAUCAUUCCAAGGGAUUUCCAACCAUAUCUGGAAAUACACCUAAAUCAUUCUGAUCUAGGAGUUAUAGUUAUUUUAAGUUGACCAAAAACUCACUUUAACUUACUUAACAUUUUCCAAAUUUCCUUAUACUUUCAAAAAAUAAUUAUUUCCAGAUUUUAAACUUCCUUCUAGUUCUUUCUAGUUGCAGAUGUUACAAUAUCUCUCCCUUGGAAACAUUCAUCCUCGAAUGAGAUUUACUCUUACUAAGCUAAGGGUGGUAACAUCAAGUUCAAAUAUCCCAAAAGCAAUUUCAAAUAAAGAACAUGCUCACUCAUAAUUUAAAGAGCACUAAGAAGAGAAUUAGUACCUUGAUCUUCACUUUCUUUGGAUUCAAAUAUAUGUGGAUAUCUCUUCUUCAUAUCCUCCUCAGCUUUCCAAGUAGCUUCCUCAACAAAUUGGUUCCUCCAAAGGACUUUGGCUGAUGCUACCUCCUUUGUUCUCAACUUGCGAACUUGGCAAUCUAUAAUUUGAACAGGAAUAUCCUCAUAAGAUAAGCUAUCUUUUAUCCCAAUAUUUUCAGUUGGUAUGAUCAAUGAGGGAUUGUCCAUGCGCUUUUUCAACAUGGAGAUGUGGAACACCGGAUGAACCGCCGCUAAUUCCUGUGGUAGCUCUAACUCAUAAGCUAUAUUGCCAAUCCUCUUGGCUAUGCGAUAAGGUCCGAUAUAUCGGGGACUAAGCUUCCCCUUCUUACCAAACCUCAUAACACCCAUCAUGGGUGAAACUUUCAAAUAUACCCAAUCAUCUACUUCAAACUCUAACGCCCUUCUCCUAACAUCAGUGUAGGAUUUUUGACGACUCUAUGCCAUUUUCAACCUUUCUUGAAUCACAUCCACCUUGUCCAUAGCUUGGUGAACUAAAUCUGGUCCUAUCAACUCUGCUCCACCAAAUUCAAACUAUCCAAUAGGUGUCCAUGCGCUUUUUCAACAUGGAGAUGUGGAACACCGGAUGAACCGCCGCUAAUUCCUGUGGUAGCUCUAACUCAUAAGCUAUAUUGCCAAUCCUCUUGGCUAUGCGAUAAGGUCCGAUAUAUCGGGGACUAAGCUUCCCUUCUUACCAAACCUCAUAACACCCAUCAUGGGUGAAACUUUCAAAUAUACCCAAUCAUCUACUUCAAACUCUAACGCCCUUCUCCUAACAUCAGUGUAGGAUUUUUGACGACUCUAUGCCAUUUUCAACCUUUCUUGAAUCACAUCCACCUUGUCCAUAGCUUGGUGAACUAAAUCUGGUCCUAUCACCCCUGCUUCGCCAACUUCAAACCAUCCAAUAGGAGAUCUGCAUCUUCUCCCAUAAAGAGCUUCAUAAGGAGCCAUUUGGGCUAGAGUGAUAAUUGUUGUUGUAAGCAAACUCAAUGAGAGGUAGUGGUCAUCCCAAUUCCCUUUGAAAUCAAUCACACAAGCCCUCAACAUAUCUUCUAAACUCUGAAUAGUGCGCUCUGCUUGCCCAUCAGUCUGAGGAUGAAAGGCAGUACUUAAGUUCACUUUCGAACCCAAACCUUUCUGAAAAAUAUUUUCAGAACUGUGUAGUAAAUUGUGCACCUCUAUCUGAAAUAAUGGAGACUGGGACUCCAUGAAGUAUUACAACCUCCUGAAUAUAUAACCCGGCAUAAUCUUCUGCUGAAUGGAUAGUCUUUACCGGCAGAAAAUGGGUUGAUUUUGUCAUUCUGUCGACAAUCACCCAAAUAGAAUCAUGCUGCCUGCGAGACCUUGGUAAUCCUGUGAUGAAAUCCAUAUUAAUCAUCUCCCAUUUCCAUUCUGGAAGUUCUAUAUUCUGCGCCAAACCACCGAGCCUUUGGUGCUCAACUUUCACUUGUUAGCAAUUUGGACACUUAGCGACAAAUUCAACAAUGCCCUUCUUCAUGAUAUUCCACCAAUACACCUCUCUCAAAUCACGAUACAUCUUUGUUGAACCUGGAUGAAUGAAAUAUCUGGAGCUAUGAGCUUCCUCCAUAAUCCUCUCUUGGAGUCCAUCCACUAUAGGUACACACAAUCUACCUUGAUAUCUCAAUACACCAUCUCCCCCUUGUUCAAAAGCUAAUACUUUUUGCUUAAGAACAUUUUCCUUCAAUUCAAUCAAAAUGGGAUCUUGGUCUUGCUUUUCUUUAACUUUUGCCACUAGUGAUGAUUCAACCCCAUUCGUCACCACUCUUCCUCCUUCUUUGGAAUCCAUAAGUCAGACUCCUAAGCGUGCAAGUCUAUGCAUAUCUUUCGCUAAUUCUCUCUUUGCUUCAUCAACAUGGGUGGUACUACCCAUAGACAACCUGCUCAAGGCAUCAACAACAACAUUAGCCUUACCUGGGUGAUAAAGAAUACUCAUGUCAUAAUCCUUGAGUAACUCUAACCACCUCCUUUGUCUGAGAUUAAGCUCUUUCUGAGUGAACACAUAUUGAAGGCUCUUGUGAUCAGUGAAUAUAUCAACAUGAACACCAUACAAAUAAUGACGACAUAUCUUCAAAGCGAAUACUACAGCAGCCAACUCUAAGUCAUGGGUUGGGUAGUUCUUCUCAUGAACUUUUAACUAUCUGGAGGCAUAAGCUAUAACUUUGCCAUUCUGCAUUAAGACACAACCCAAACCAACUCUAGAUGCAUCACAAUACACCACAAAACCAUGAGUACCUUUCGGUAAAGUCAAAACUGGGGCAGUAGUCAACCUCGUCUUCAAUUCCUAAAAGCUUUUCUCACAAGCUUCAGACCAUUGAAAUUUCACUAUUUUCUGAGUCAACUUGGUCAAAGGGGAUGAGAUAGACGAGAACCCCUCUACGAACCUCUAUAAUAGCCAGCCAUACGCAAGAAACUCCUAAUAUCAGUUGGAGAUGUGGGUGUAGGCCAAUUCUUCACUGCCUCAAUUUUCUGAGUAUCAACUUUAAUUUCUUCUCCAGGCACAAUAUGGCCUAAGAAUGCCAUAGGCUCAAGCCAAAACUCACACUUAGAGAAUUUAGCAUAAAACUCCUUAUCUUUCAAAGUCUGAAGAACUAUUUUGAGAUGACUAGCAUGAUCUUCUUCAUUCCUUGAAUAGAUUAGUAUGUCAUCAAUGAAGAUGAUAACAAACAUAUCUAGAUAAGGUUUGAAGACUCUAUUCAUAAGAUCCAUAAACGUUGAUGGUGCAUUAGUCAAACCAAAUGACAUGACCAACAAUUCAUAAUGACCAUAUCGGGUUCUGAAAGCUGUCUUUGGAAUAUCACAUUCCCUUACUCUUAACUGAUAAUAGCCUGAUUUGAGCUCAAUUUUCAAAAAGAAAGAAGCACCCUGAAGCUGAUCGAAAAGAUCAUCAAUUCUCGGAAGAGGGUACUUAUUCUUGAUGGUAACCUUGUUCAACUGACGGUAAUCUAUACACAUCCUAAGGGAACCAUCCUUCUUUCUCACAAAUAAGACUGGAGCGCCCCAAGGUGAAACACUUGGUCGAAAAAAGCCCUUAUCUAAAAGAUCCUUUAACUGUUCUUUCAACUCUAUUGGUGCCAUUAUGUAUGGCGGAAUAGAUAUAGGACGAGUAUUUGGAAUGAUGUCUAUACCGAAGUUUAUUUUUUCUCUCAAGAGGGACUCUGGAUAAAUCUUCAGGCAAGACUUCUAGAAACUCUUUUACUAUUGGAACUGACUAAAUAGGAGGUACCUCAACACUUGAGUCAUUAACUCGGACUAAGUGAUAGACACACCCCUUGGAAACUAACUUCCUUGCCUUAAGGUACGAAAUGAAAUGACCUUUAGGCACUACUGAACUAUUUUUCCACUCUAAGACUGGCUCAUUUAGAAACUGAAACUUGACAACUCGAGUUCUACAAUCAACAGAGGCAUAACAGGCAUGAAGCCAGUCCAUACCAGGAAUGACCUCGAAAUCUACCAUGUCUAACUCAAUUAAAUCAGCCAUGGUACUCUUGUGAUUGACCGAAAUGGGACAAUCACGAUAGACUCUUUCUGCUAGAAUAGACUCACCAACAGAUGUAGAGACACUGAAUGGUUCACUAAGUUGCUCAGGAAAAACAUCAAUGUUCAUAGCAACAUAAGGAGUUACAAAAGAUAAACUUGCUCCUGGAUCUAGCAAGGCAUAAACUGUAAAGUCAAAGACUCUAAUCAUACCAUUGACAAUGUUUGGUGAAUCCUCUUGCUCUUGGCGACUGCUGAUAGCAUACAAGUGGUUUGUUCCUCCGCCAGUAUCAAAAGUAACCCAUCUAGGUGCAGUUCUGUCUAGUGGAGCAACUGAAGAAGACUGGGCUCUAUUGCCCCCAUUACCAUUUCCCUGCUUGUUCUUUGGACACUCUCGCAUGAAAUGCCCAGUCUGGCCACACUUGAAACAAUCAGUGGAGCCCUCAUGACAAAUACCUGAGUGGUUCCUACCACACUUGGCACAGGCAGGAGGCUUACUACCCCCUUGCACAACACUACCCCGGGAAUAAGCAGGUUUAGCUCUGAAGUUCUGAUUAUUGUUCUCACAUUUGUUCUUAGGUGCAGGUGCACUAGCAGAUGAUGGAGCAGGUCUCUUCUAUUUCUGUUGGAAGGAUGACCGAUUGGCAUUACUCUUUUGUUGCCCAGACUCAUUCCCUAUUUUAGCCCUCUUGUUCUUGAAUUCCUCUAUAUCCCUCAACUUCUCUUCCUCUACCUGCUGCACAUAGACCAUCAACCUCGAAAUGUCCAUGUCUCCAAUAAGCAUUGCUGCCCGGCCCUCUUUUCUUGAUAGACGGCACAACCCAGCAACGAACAAGCUCAUUCUACUUCUCAUGUCCUUAACCAUCUCUGGAGCAUAUCGGGAUAGUUGGGAGAACUUCAACCCAUAGUCAUGAACACUUAGAGAAUCCUGCUUAAGUGUGAGGAACUCACAUACAUUAGCCUCCUUCAGUUCUCGGGGAAAGAAAUGCCCCAAUAAAGCCUCUUCAAAACAUGCCCAACUCGCAGGUAAUGCAUCCUCAGCUCUACCCCCUUUCCACUGAUCAAACCAAGUCCUAGCAACAUUUUUCAUCUGAUAUGCAACUAGCUCAACUCUCAUAGUAUCUGUAACAUGCAUCACGUCGAACACCUUUUUCAGUUCCGCAAUGAAGUUCUCUGGAUCCUCUGCAGUGCUUGAACCAGUGAAACUUUGAGGGUUCAUCCUCAAGAACUCACGAAUCCUUGAAGUGUCAGCCUCUUCUUGCCGAGCUCCUCUCUGUUGCCCAACUUGGUUAGUCACAACUUGACUGAGCAUCCUUAUAGCCACUCUGAACUCAGCAUUAGUAACUUCUCCUUGUGGUUGCACUUCAAGUGCAUUAGGUAACUCAUGCUCCUCAACAUUAUGCCUAGCAGGACUUCCUCUAACAGCUCUUCGUGGAGGUAUGAUUAUUUGGAAAUACGCGCAAGCACGAAUUAGAGGGAAACUUUUUUGAGAUCAAACUCUAACGCACGAAAUUAGUGUGAAAAAAGUGAGAAAUUUUCCUAAAUAUUGCAGCCUCCUAAUUAUAGAUGUGGCACGCUUCACACCAAUAAAAAGGACUCUACAUACAUGGCUUCAUAGACCCCCUAGGACUCUUCAACUCGGUGCCCUGAUACCAAGUUUGUCAUGCCCCGAGCCUACACCCUGGGAAGGACUGGCACUCGAAGACAAUUGCUGGCCCCAAGCGAACCCUUAACCUAGCUUACAUAACUCAGCGAAAGACAAUAUUCAUAUUAUAAUGAUCAAUAACACUUAACUGAACUGAAUAAUAAAUAUAACUGAGAAUGUUUAAAGGUUAAACAUUCAACUUGGCCAAAAGUGGCAACCCAAGUCUUAACAAUAAGAAAUGAUAAUGAAAAGACUCAAAGACUAACAUCUGACUAUCUAUGAAUCCUCUAAAUCAACUGAGAUGGAUGUAGGGAAAACCCCACAAUAUCCUAAUGAACUAACUAGAAAGCAAUGAAAAUAGAUCCUUCGAAAUGUAAGGAGGCUCACCGACUGACUCUAAACUGCUCACUGGAUCAACCGUACGCUGGAAUGCCAAUCCUAGUUACCUGUGUAUGCAUGAUGAACCGAUGCAGGCCAACUGGCAUCAAUUUAUUGAAUGUACGAGUAUGCGAGUUGGAAUGCUAAAACAGCAUAGGCUUGAAAGGGAAUCUAAAAGAAACACUUACCUUGGCUCUUCUCAACUCAUGAAAACUUAAUUGAACUCAUUUCAAUAUAAAGAAGUUUAAAACAAGUUCAAUAUAAAGAAAAGUUGUUUAAAAACAUAAUGUCAACUCUAUGUAUAUACAAGGAUAUGAAAAACAUGAUGGCAACUCUGUGUAUACACAAGGAUACAACAUAACUCUGAAAUAUAUGUAAAAAUACAAUAAAAUAUACAAGGAUAUGAAAAACAUGAUGGCAACUCUGUGUAUACACAAGGAUACAACAUAACUCUGAAAUGUAUGUAAAAAUACAAAUAACUGUGUAUAUAAAAAAACAAUAACUUAUGUGGGAGUUUUCUAACCAGCAACCAUCACAUAAGAACUAUAGAGAUGAUACAUCGAUCUACCUCACGCUGCCAGCGCAUCCUAUACCCGGCCAAAGGUAUAAGACCUGAACUACUAAGUGGAUCUACUAGUUUAUUGUGAAAAGGGUUCAUCUAGAAAGUAUGACCCUUUUCUACCCAUGGUGGCUACAUGGUUUUAUGGAGACGUGAGUUAUCUGAACUCACGAUCACCCCCAAUGCGGUGCUCAAUACUACACCCAAAAUAUACUAGCUCUUAUAUUUUUUUUAAAACAAACUUCUUCUGUGAUUUGAGAUUAGUGCUCAAAACUUAGCUCAAAGACUAUCUUGGAAAUCUCAGUUCCCUUCUUGCUUCAUUUAGAAAGCUAUUACUCUUUUCUGAAAACUAGGCCUAAGGCUCUUUGGAAAUCUCAGUUUCCGUUCUUAUAUAAAUGUGAAAAACGUUUUAAAUCUCUUUGGGAAUACUUAGUCCCCAUAUACUUUUUGAAGAAAUGAACUUCAAUCUAUACUAUUUACUCUUUACUCAACUUGAACUAUAAGUCUUAAAACAAGGUUAAAAGCAUUUGUAGAAGACUUCUUGAAAAGACUCUGAAAACUUCCUAGACUUGGCUCUUGACAUUCCUUGAAUUUGAAUUUAUGGAUUCAAGGUUAUGAUUCAUGUUUAUGGAUGAUUUCUAGGUGUUUAGAAGUCAUUUAGAGUACUUAGAAUCAAUGGAAAGUGUUAGGACACUUUAAAAGGACUUAAAUGGACUGAAUGACGAAAAUUGGGUGAAAAACACCGAUCCGGGUGCGUCCCUGGCGCGCCGCGCCAGGUCCCAACUUACUGGGUCUGUUUUGGGCACAUUGCUGGCACGCCUCCCCAGCCUCCUAGAGCUAUGAGGACGCAACGUGCCUGGCCCUCCCUAGGUGCGUCUGAUAAGUUUUUCAACUCGUUUUAUGAUCCUAAAUCUUUUAAUCUGAUUCUUUUUCCCAAAUUCACCUUGGAUUCAUGUACCCAAAUUCUAUACACAAAUCCUAACCCAAAUAACUCAAGGAAACAACACUUAAUCAUCAAGAAAUUCCUUAAUCCCAACUCAUAUUCAAGAACGAAAUCAAUUCAACAACAACUAUCAAGAACAUCAAUUUCUCAGUCUUUUUAGGAUGUAAAUACGCUGAAUCAAACAUGCUUGGUGCGUGGGUGAACUAACCCAACGCUAUGUGAUCUCACAUACCUUGUAGGGAUCACCCCCGAUGAAUUCUACAAGCCAAACUUCGACGAUCUUGAACGUUCUUGUUUCUUCUUCUCCUUUCUCCUUAGCCAUAGCGUGAAAUCCCAUAUUCUAAAACUGACUGAAAUCUGAUUUGACCCAUAUUAAACUCCUAAAUAUGGAUCAAAAUAAUGGGGCAAUGAAAAGACUAAAAUACCCCUUAAAAUUGCGGAUUGGACAUUUCUUUAAUCCAACAGUCCAACUUUCAACGGGCAUCACUCACUCACACGAACUCGGAAUCACGCAAACUUGGCGGCGUUGGAAAGAUCAUUCCAAGGUCUUUGCAACCAUAUCUAUAACUACACCUAAGUCAUCCUCAGUUAGGAGUUAUGGUCAUUUGAAGUUGACCAAAAACUCACUUUAACUUACUUAAAAUUUUCCAGAUUUCCUUAUACUUUCCAAAAAUAACUAUUUCCGGAUUUUAAACUUCCUUCUAGUUCUUUCUAGUUGCGAGAUGUUACAAAAAGUUUGUUGCUACAAAUGAUUUUGAACGACCGGAUUGAUUAAUUAGCGUAGGGACAAUUCGGUCGCUAUAAAUGGACAUAUAGUGACUGGAUUUUAUGUUGUCGUUAAAAGCUUUUUAACAACCAGAUAGAAAUUCGUUGUUAAACUUUUAAGGUCUGAGAUUUUAACGACGAACGAUAAUCGGAUUUGUCCCCGUCAUUAGUGACCUUUAACACUCGUAUUUGGACUUUUAACAACCAAAUAUCCCCUCGCAAAAGGUCAUUUUUCAUGUAGUGUGAGUUGGGCAACCUGCUGGUGGUACUGAAGUUGUAGACUGGUAUCGAUUAGCAUUGCCUCCUUGACCUUGUUUAGAAGGACAAUCCCUCAACAUGUGACCAGAAUGACCACACCCAAAGCAUCCUUCCUUCCUGCAAGGGACUCACCCGUAUUGUUCUUACCACACUUAGGGAAAGUUGGGUAGGUUUUGUUCCCGAAAAACUUCCCUGAGACUUAGAGCCUGAUGCCCUACCUUUCUGAUCUUGUCUGAACUUAGAGGAUGGAACACUAGCUGAUGAAGGUGCUGGAGUUGAAAAUUUCUGCUGACCCUGCGAGCGAUUCCCACCACCCGAUUUUUGCUGAGAGUAGUCAUAGUUUCCAGUCCUAGCCUUCUUGUUCUCCUUAGCCUGUUCUCUAAGCUUAUCACUCUCAACCUGCUAAUCAUGAGUCAGAAGCCUAGAGAUGCUAAUAUUUUCCAGCAACAUAGCAUUUCUACACUCUAUCUUCACGAAGUCUGACACUCCAUAUAGAAACUUAUUCAUCUGAGCCCUGGAAUCAGCAACCAUGUGAUGAGCAUACCUAGAGAGUUGGGUAAACUUGAGCCCAUACUCUUGGACUGUCAUACUACCUUGCCUUAAGUUCAUAAAUUCCUGAGCUUUUGCCUCCCUUAGCUCUCUUGGGAAAAACCUGUCCAGAAAGGUCUCACUAAUGUAAUCCCAAGAGAUAGGAGUUGCAUCUGUACACCUAUUCUCCUUCCACUGAGUAUACCAGAUAUGACCUACAUCCUUAAGUUGGUAGGAUGCUAACUCCACCCGAUCAUUCCCAGUUACCUGCAUCACUUCAAAGAUCUUCUUGACCUCAUCAAUGAAGGUUUGGGGAUCUUCUCCAAUCUUCGAUCCUAAGAACUCUGGCAGAUUCAUCCUAACAAAGUCUCGCACUCUAGCUGCUGCCGACCCAACAUUAGUGUUUGCCAGAGAUGGAGCCUGCUGAUUGUUCUGGUUGGCAACGCUCUGAGCCAACAUCUUAAUAGCAUUCCAGAAUUUUGCAUUCGAAACUUCUUGAUUUGGGACUGGAGGAGCUGUGUUUGCGUUCCUGGCUUUCGCAUUCCUGGCAUUAGCUCUACGAUGAGGCAGAACCUGAUCAUUCCCAGUUACAUGCAUCACUUCAAAGAUCUUCUUGACCUCAUCAAUGAAGUUUUGGGGAUCCUCACCUAUCUGCGAUCCUAAGAACUCUGGCGAAUUCAUCCUAUCAAAAUCUCGCACUUUGGCUGUAGCCGACCCAUCAUUAGUAUUUGCCGAAGCUAGAGCCCGAUGAUUGUUCUGGUUGGCAGAGCUCUGAGCCAACAUCUAAAUGGCAUUCCAGAAUUCUACAUUCGAAACUUCUUGAUCUGGGACUGGAGGAGUUGCGUUUGCGUUCCUAGUAUUCGCAUUCCUGGCGUUAGCUCUACGAGGAGGCAUGAUCACUGAAACAUAAAACGUCAAGUUAGAAUGGAAUUAGAUCAUACCUUACAAACGAUAAAAGUAACAAGAAAAUAAAGAUUUUUCCUAAAACACUUUGUAGCCUGCCUCUCAUUAGAUGUGGUGCACUUCACACCCAUGAAAAUGACUCUACUUAGUGCAGCUUUUCAAACAUCCUAGGACACUUAAACCUAGUGCUCUGAUGCCAAGUUUGUCACGCCCGAGCUACCCCCGAGACGUGGACACGGGACCUAGGAUCACAAGUAACCCCAAGCUAACCCUGCCGGCAUAAUCAUGAGCAUACUAAAGAUAAACUGAGAAAUAAAACUAUUGCGGAAGCUAAUAAUAAGUAAAUCUGAAAUGAUGGGGAAUACCCAUACACUAAAACUGAAUAUAUAAAAUUUGGGAGUUUAAUACAAAAGAAACAUCAAACUCAAAUACUAAGCUCAAUCUAACUAUGUUUGAAAAUAGCCUCUAACUAACUAGAAGUGCUGGGACAUGCCCCAACUAAGUCUAGCAAAACUCAAACUAAAAUACUAAAAUAAUGAAAAGAUAACAUGAUUGUUGUCCUCGAAGAAUGAGGAUUCACCACUGAUGCUGCUAAACUAGAGAUUAGGAACCGAUCUAAGCGUGAUCUCGAUGCUGAGAACCUAGACCUACAUCACGAAAAGAUGUAGCGCAGAGUAUCCGUUAGUACUUGAAAGGUACUGAGCAUGCAGGAUAGAGUAAAGCUGAAAUAAACAUAUAACUGAACAAGCAAUAAAGCAAGAGCAUAAUCUGAACAUGAUAUAGAUACUGAGCUAACUACAUGCUGAAUAUGAACUAACUGGAUGUAGUGACCAAGAUUAUAACAUACUGAAACUGAAUACUGAACUGUAACAGAUAACCUGGUCUAUAGAGUCUGACUGAAAUGUGGGAGCUACUAAUAACCGANNNNNNNNNNNNNNNNNNNNNNNNNNNNNNNNNNNNNNNNNNNNNNNNNNNNNNNNNNNNNNNNNNNNNNNNNNNNNNNNNNNNNNNNNNNNNNNNNNNNNNNNNNNNNNNNNNNNNNNNNNNNNNNNNNNNNNNNNNNNNNNNNNNNNNNNNNNNNNNNNNNNNNNNNNNNNNNNNNNNNNNNNNNNNNNNNNNNNNNNNUGGGUGACUGACCCUAGUCCAACUCGGUAUUAUUCUACUCCCAAUAGAUUAAAUGAUUAAUACAUUAUGACUAAAUUUUGUAAUAUACUGGAUAGCUCAAAACUGACAUACAAACUGGGAGUGCACAUUAAUUUACUGAUAAUGACACAUUCAAAAACUGAGGCAUGUAUAUUUGAAAUAACUGAAAUAUCUAACCUAGCAUGUGUAAUUCANNNNNNNNNNNNNNNNNNNNNNNNNNNNNNNNNNNNNNNNNNNNNNNNNNNNNNNNNNNNNNNNNNNNNNNNNNNNNNNNNNNNNNNNNNNNNNNNCAUGCAAUAAACUGAGAAAUAACAUGAUAAUCUGAUUUGGAACAUUUAAAUAACUAAUUCAUGAUGAUCUGUUGAAAUUCUAGAAACCCUAGGUCUGUUCAUAAUAAGGGGAUCAAGAAUCUGACUGAAUUCUAGGGAUCUAAUGGGCGAAAGGAACCCACUAGUGAAAUCUCACAUACCUGGUGACGAAUUCCACAGAGAAAUAUUUCGAUUUUGGGGUUAGAUUUGAUGGAAUCUUGUUGCGUUCUUGAACUAGGGUUCUUGACCUCUUUUCUCCCCUCAAUCUCUAAUUUUCUAAGUUUUGAUUAAUGAUUUUGACUAAGGUAACUUCUAGUUAUGUUUCUAGGCUUAAACUAACUAAAACCUCAUAACGACGUAGUUUAGGGGUCCAACGCAUAGGGAAAAGACCAAAAUGACACUGACUUAAAAGUUGUCGGGACCAACCGACGAACCUGGUCCACGGACCGUGGUCCACCCUAUGGUCCGUCUUGGUCAGCCAUUGUUCGGCUCAGAAGAUGGGUUCUGCAGACCAUGUUUCACGAACCUGGUCCACGGACUGUGGUUCAACCUACGGUCUGUAGGUCAUGUCCGUGGGUCGGGGGUAUUUUUCUGCGGACCACAUUCCAUGGACCUGGUCCACAGGCAGUUGUCCCACCAACGGUCGAGGUUUUCUAGGGUUUUUUUCUAUGGACCACGUUUCACGGACCGUGGUACAACCUACGAUCCAAGGUGGCACCUGCAAUUUUGGAAAUCUGCAUUCUGGUCUAUCUAGGAUACGGUGUGUUACACCAACGGACCAUGGCUGGACCAACAGUCUGUCCUAGUGAACCGUGGAUGGUGGUCUGGGACUUGGUUCUUCAGGUCCUGAACCAUGACUCCCCACCCACUGACCCUAGACCCACCACGAGGCCUGGGUCCUAGUCUUGUGGGUCACUGCCUCAAACAGUGUCCAAGGUGCCCACCUACGGGCUCACCCACAUGGCGUGGGUCCAACUACUGCCCGUGGGUUGCCUCGUGGAUGACACCUGGGGGUUCUAUAACAUCUUUACAUUUUCCUCUUUCGAGUACAGGGAGUCACAUCCAAGACUCUAACACUCACGUUAAACUCUAGUUUGGCAUACUAAUUUCAGGGGUGUUACACAAUAUAUGUGUCAGAACAUGACACCCAAUCCAAUGUAUAUGUCGAAACAUGACACUUGAUCCAAUAUAUGUGUCGGAACAUGACACCUGAUCUAGUCAGUACAACCACAGUCACAGUCACACCCAUAAUGAACAGCACACAUAGUCACAUGGUCAAGUAACAAGUUCAUGGCAUGCAAUUGUUCGCACAUAAUUAUUUCAAGAUGUUGGAAUUUGUGGGUAAUUGUAAUUUAGGUUGAUGAUUAAUUUAGUUGGUUAAUGUUGAUCUUAUGAUGAAUGAUGGGUGUUAUCGUAUAGUAGAUGAUUAUGGUUAGUCAGAUUCUCAACGGGGAAUAAUUUUGGAAAUGGUUUUUUCGAGUAGAUGAUGGUUGUUUAUUUUUCCGUUUAUGUGAUAUGUUCUUGUCAAAAUCUUUGUUAGUAUUGCAUGCAUGGUACAUGAUUUUAGUAAAGGAAUGAACAGCAUAUUAUUGAUAAAUAUUUUCAAUCGUAUGUAAUGAAUAUGAUUAUUUGGGUGUACAAGUGUAUUUUUUUAUUCAUUGUAAUUAUGAUGUAUGGUUGGCUCGGGUACCACUUCUAGUACAAUAUAUUCUCACGGUUGGCUAAGACACCAUGCUUUGUAUAUACUAAUAGUCAGCUCGAGUACAAUACCUAGUAUUGGGAUAUCCAUCUAUUAUUGGCUCGGGUACCACACCUGUACAUACCAAUGAUGGACAUGGGUACCACGUCAAGCGCUCUAAUACUUUUUGUGUCGAUUCCAUGAGAGAAGCAAUUUUACUUCUUAGUGACGCGAUUGUUAAAAUUUGGUUUUGUGUGUGGACCAGGCUUAUUUAUUGUGUUAUAUUUAUCAUAUGUUGGUCCUUGAGUUGUUGGGUGGGUGUAUUUAAAUUCUUGGGUAGUUCUCUUAUAGAGUGGCUGCAUACUAAAUACAUAGUGAUGUUUGACGGAUGUUUAGAGGUUUGGUUAUUUGAAAGGUGUGAUGAUUCAAUUAUAACUUGUUGUAGAGUUAUAGAUCAUGUGAAUGGUGAAUGUUUAGUCUAGAUGAGGACUGGGAGUCAGGGCUGUGUUUCUGAUAGUCAUUAUAAUUGUAUGUUAUCUGUUUGAUAAAUUUUUUUAGGGACUAGCGGUUGGAAUGAGAGUUUAAAGGAGAAUAGUAGUCUAGUUAACAAUGUUAUUAGUGACCUUGUAUUCGGGAUAUGUCUAUUUGAUAGAAGAGGUUAGGUUAUGAUCUAAUACGAGGGUGGAAUGACCUNNNNNNNNNNNNNNNNNNNNNNNNNNNNNNNNNNNNNNNNNNNNNNNNNNNNNNNNNNNNNNNNNNNNNNNNNNNNNNNNNNNNNNNNNNNNNNNNNNNNCUAUUUCUUCACAAAAUAUUUUCGUCUUUCAAAAGAUUUAACCAAGUAUUUCUUAUUUUGUAUAAACUAGUUUUUCGACACGUGUGUUGCACGUGAUUAUAAAUUUAGAAAAUUUAAGCAAAGAUUUGAAUAAUCAGCUUUGCACAAAAUAAUAUUGCAGAUUCUUUUGUGAAUGUUCAAUGUGGAUCCUCAUAUAUUUAUAUAUAUAUAUAUAUAUAUAUAUAAAUCUUAUUCACACGAGCCUAUGAAGAUGAUCAAUGAAAAAAUUUAUUAGUUAAAUACAAUAUUGUAUAUAUUUAUUUCAAUUUGAUGAGGUUCAAUCAUGUAAUUAGUUGUAUCUUACUAAUACUACCUUAUAGACGAUAUUUGUGGUGUAUUUUUCUUGUCAUCUAACCAGAUGUGCUUUGCACAUGUAUUCCACUAAAUCUAUUUAGAUGUCAUAGAUGAUGUUCUUUUUAUUGGCUCUCAUAUUUGACUUCUCGAUUGAUUGUGUACAUAAACCAAAGAAAGUUAUCUAACUGUCCAUAGUUAACUGAUAAAGGUUUCCUUUUUUUUAACCGAAAAACUAAAAAUUAAAAUUAAAGAAUAUAUUUUAUCAGUGAAAUUAUAUAUAUAGUCAUAUUUUUAUCUUACAUCCAACAAAGAUAUAGUUCAUAUACUUGUAAACAAUUUUUAAUUUAAUCAACAAACCAUGCUUCGUUCAAGGAAAAAUAACAACAUUGUGUUAUCACAUAUAUAGGGGCGGUAUAAUAAUAUGAAAAAUUAUUGAUCAAAAGUUAAUAUAAGAAAAUAUGAAGAUAUAAAUAAUUAAUGUAAUAACUAUGAGAAUUCAUAAUAUUAUAACUAAAGAAUGUAAAAGAGUGUGAAUAACAUUUGCAAUAAUUUGUAAUAACUAAUUUAUAAUGUUAUAGCUAAAGAAUUAAUGUCCAAUAGAUGAAUUUCUAAUAAAUUUUAUACUUACAUAAAUAAAUAGGACUUUUAAUUAACGUUACUAUUUUUUAUAGUUAUUAGAUUUUAAUUUAGUGUAGGGAUAAAAUGAAAAUGUUUAUUUCGUAUUACUCAAUAUAUAAUUUAUUUUGUUAAUGAUAACUUUUAAAUGAUUCGUCUAUAUUCACUUAUUUUCACAUUUUUUGUGAGCUUUUUUUCAAAAAAUAAAAAACUUGAAAAAUUCUAAAAUUAUAUAUUUUGAAGUUAGAUAAUCUUGUUAACUUGAUAAUACAUUCGUGACAUAUAUCAAUACCUACCCAUAUAUAUCAGUAUUCAUCGAAAAUACUGAAAUAUUAAGAAAUAGUAAAUUAGCAAAACAAAAGGGCAAUGUUUACAUAGUAAUAAGGGAUAAAGCCAAGUACCCCCUAGACUAUAACCGAAAUCUCAGAGACACACUUUAACUAAACUAAAGUCCUAUUACCCCCCCUCCUCCCCCGAACUUAUUUUUUUGUAAUUUUGUACACCUUUUGUCUUACGUGGCACACUCUGUGACUCCAUGCAAUUGAAGCGCGUGAAAGAUAUUUGGAUGCCACAUAAGCCAAAAAGGUGCACAAAAUUACAAAAUGGGUUUAGGAGGGUAAAAGGACCUUAGUUUAGUUAAGGUGUGUCUAUGAGAUUUCGAUCAUAAAUCACAUUUAAGGUAGAGAUCCACCAUCGAUUUGAGUUAAGUUUUGAGAAGUAAGUAUGAGAAUGAGGAAUUGUAUACCUAAGUUCCUUAUUGAUAUUUGACCCUUGAGUCAAGUCAUUCAUGCCCAUAACUUCCGCAUGAACUCCAUCAGUUUAGUAUCUUUGAAAGGAGUAGUAUCUUUGAAAGGAGUAGUAUCUUGAAGUUCUAAGUCUUGAGUAUCGAGUUCCUAACCCUUUCGAGAUUAUAAUCCUAAUCAUGGGACUAUUACCUAUUACCCAUGAAGUCCAUGAGUUCAGUUGUUCAUGCCCAUAAUUCCGCAUACACAUUAUAAGUCGAACAAUCUUGAGAUGAGAAGUAUCUUUGAGUCCUUGAGUUGAGUAGUUCAUGCUCAUAAUUCCGCAUGAAACCUCUGAGUUGAGCAUUCUUGAAAUUAGUACGUAGUACCAUUGAAGUUCUUGAGUUCCAAGUAUUUGAUUUCUAUCUAUGGUUAUUGAAAACCUUGCAUUGAGUCGUUCAAGUCCAUAAUUCGGCGUGAACCAUAUUUUAAGAAGUCUUUUACAAACGUUUAAACUUUGUUUUAAGAAUUAAGCUUUGAAGUUGAGUAAAGAGUAAAGAGUAAAGUUCAUUUUUAAAAAAAUGAUAUAUGGGAACUAAGUAUUCCCAAGAGUAAAUUAUUUCACAUUUAAGUUGAGAGGAAACUGUGAUUUCCAAAAGAAUUUUGAGCAAGAAAGGGAACAUCGAUUCCAAGAAAGCUUUUAAGCUAAGUUUUUGACUAAUUAUCUCAAACUAAAGAAAGAGUUUUGUUUUUACAAAUAUAUGAGAUAAGUAUAUUUUGGGAGUAGUAUUGAGCCCCGAUAUAGGGGCGAGUUUGAGUUCAGAUAACUCACGUCUCCAUAAACCAUGUAGCCAUCAUGGGUAGUAAAGGAUCAUACUUUUUAGAUGACUCCUUAAGAUGCUUUUAGCAUAAGCUAGUGGAUCCACUAAGUUAAGCGUUCUAUAUGAUGGCAAAGUAUAGGACAGUUCUGGCAGCAUGGGCAUGAUGAUAUAUCACCACUUAGGCUCAUAGUGGUGGUUGUCGGUUAGAGAAACUCCCACAUAAACCAUAUUACUCUAUUAUAAAAGUAAAGUUGAGUUUGUUAUUGCAUUUUCUUUUAACGUAACUAAGUUGUUUUUACUGUUUUAUUAAAAGCUUUCCAUAUAUUGUAUGUGUAUUGUUGCUUUAUAUUGAGUUGAGUACCCAGAGUUGAAUAUCAUAUAUUUGAGUUGAGUAUCUAAUCUCUGAGUUGAGUAUCUUGUCCUUGAGUACUUCUGAGUUGAGUAAGUUUGAGUAGUUUUGAGUAUUCUUGAGUAUUCCUUGAGUUGAGUAAGUUUGAGAAGAGGUAAGUAUGUUUCCUUUUAUCAUGUUUCAAGCUUAUGUUUAUGUUUUAAAAUUCCCCUUACAUGCUCGUACAUUCCACGUACUGAGUCAUUUGGCCUGCAUCUUUUGAUGAUGCAGACACAGGUAUUCGAGAUCAUCAAUAGGAGAUUCGUUGAUACAUCCGGGAGUUCGAGUUAGCUAUG
rnacentral:lncRNA from 1 species